UUCAGUUGCUUUGACACAAUCUGUAUUGUUAAAAGCGCUAUAUAAAUAAAGGUGACUUGACUUGACUUGACUAAGCAGGGCUGAGCCUGGUCAGUACCUGGAUGGGAGACCUGGGAAAAACUAGGUUGCUGCUGGAA
rnacentral:rRNA from 1 species